rnacentral:rRNA from 1 species
CAGUAGCCACGGGAAAACGGAGGGUGCAAGCGUUAUCCGGAUUUAUUGGGUUUAAAGGGUCCGUAGGCGGAUCUGUAAGUCAGUGGUGAAAUCUCACAGCUUAACUGUGAAACUGCCAUUGAUACUGCAGGUCUUGAGUAAAUUUGAAGUGGCUGGAAUAAGUAGUGUAGCGGUGAAAUGCAUAGAUAUUACUUAGAACACCAAUUGCGAAGGCAGGUCACUAAGAUUUAACUGACGCUGAUGGACGAAAGCGUGGGGAGCGAACAGGAUUAGAUACCCGUGUAGUCCCUGUCUCUUAUAC